rnacentral:rRNA from 1 species
CCUACGGGAGGCAGCAGUGAGGAAUAUUGGUCAAUGGUCGGGAGACUGAACCAGCCAAGCCGCGUGAGGGAUGAAGGUACAGAGUAUCGUACACCUCUUUUGUCAGGGAACAAAGGCGGGGACGCGUCCCCGGAUGAGUGUACCUGAAGAAAAAGCAUCGGCUAACUCCGUGCCAGCAGCCGCGGUAAUACGGAGGAUGCGAGCGUUAUCCGGAUUUAGUGGGUUUAAAGGGUGCGAAGGCUGUCUGUUAAGUCUGCGGUCAAAGCCCGGGGCUCAACCCCGGCCCGCCGUUGAAACUGGCAGUCUCGAGUUGGAGAGAAGUAUGCGGAAUGCGCGGUGUAGCGGUGAAAUGCAUAGAUAUCGCGCAGAACUCCGAUUGCGAAGGCAGCAUGCCGGCUCCACACUGACGCUCAUGCACGAAAGCGUGGGUAUCGAACAGGAUUAGAUACCCGGGUAGUC